UGGGGAAUAUUGGACAAUGGGCGCAAGCCUGAUCCAGCCAUGCCGCGUGAGUGAUGAAGGCCCUAGGGUUGUAAAGCUCUUUCACCGGUGAAGAUAAUGACGGUAACCGGAGAAGAAGCCCCGGCUAACUUCGUGCCAGCAGCCGCGGUAAUACGAAGGGGGCUAGCGUUGUUCGGAUUUACUGGGCGUAAAGCGCACGUAGGCGGACUUUUAAGUCAGGUGUGAAAUCCCGGGGCUCAACCCCGGAACUGCCUUUGAUACUGGAAGUCUUGAGUAUGGUAGAGGUGAGUGGAAUUCCGAGUGUAGAGGUGAAAUUCGUAGAUAUUCGGAGGAACACCAGUGGCGAAGGCGGCUCACUGGACCAUUACUGACGCUGAGGUGCGAAAGCGUGGGGAGCAAACAGG
rnacentral:rRNA from 1 species